rnacentral:rRNA from 1 species
UACAGAGGUCUCAAGCGUUGUUCGGAUUCAUUGGGCGUAAAGGGUGCGUAGGCGGCGUGGUAAGUCGGGUGUGAAAUCUCGGAGCUUAACUCCGAAACUGCAUUCGAUACUGCCGUGCUUGAGGACUGGAGAGGAGACUGGAAUUUACGGUGUAGAGGUGAAAUUCGUAGAUAUCGGGAGGAACACCAGUGGCGAAGGCGGAGACCUGGGCCGAUACUGACGCUGAGGUGCGAAAGCGUGGGGAGCAAACAGG